GCCGGCGUGGCUCAAUGGUAGAGCAUCUCAUUCGUAAUGAGAGGGCUGCGGGUCCGAUUCCCGCCGCCGGCUCCA
rnacentral:tRNA from 1 species